UACAGAGGUCUCAAGCGUUGUUCGGAUUCAUUGGGCGUAAAGGGUGCGUAGGUGGCGCGGUGAGUCGGGUGUGAAAUCUCGGAGCUUAACUCCGAAAUUGCAUUCGAUACUGCCGUGCUCGAGGACUGGAGAGGAGACUGGAAUUCAUGGUGUAGCAGUGAAAUGCGUAGAGAUGCGGAGGAACACCGAUGGCGAAGGCAGCCCCCUGGGCUAGCACUGACGCUCAGGCACGAAAGCGCUGGGGAGCAAACAGGG
rnacentral:rRNA from 1 species